AAGUCGUAACAAGGUUUCCGUAGGUGAACCUGCGGAAGGAUCAUUAACACGUAUCCACGUAUCAACCCCAUGUGCUCUUUUGGUCUCGUACCCUGCCAGUGCAGAGAAAGUUGGAUAGAAUGAAGUCGAAUGGUGAGGGGCGGAGAGUCAAAUCUCUUAGCCUCGUGGCUUUGUUCUAUCUGUGUGCUUUCUCGCUUUCAUGCUGGUCAGGCUUGUGUUCUUUUCACCAUUGGAAUCAAACCUUUUUUUAACAUUCAAACCCCUAGUACCAUUUGUUACUGAAUCAAUGUUUAAAUGAGAACCUCGGUUCUUUGUUUAAAUAACGAUACGAAACGCUUGACAACUCUUAGCAACGGAUAUCUUGGCUCUC
rnacentral:misc_RNA from 1 species